AUGUSUCAUCAGCAGAAAAAAGAUGUUACUCCAUCUCCUUCAGUCUACAGGCUGACCUCUAAAGAUGAYGAAAGUUUGGAAAUGUGCCUUAUCACAGAUUACUCCCCUGAAAGGCUUGCACCUAAUAUGAAUGCAGGGAAGACAGAUGCUAUUGUGGAGGUGGUAACAUCUGAGAACAAACAGGAAGCAAGCUACUUGUCAACCUACUGGGCCAAGAAAAAUGAAAUGCAGUGCAGCACAAAGCACAAGGGAUUUGGAGAGCUGGAAGGCAAGGAUCCUGAAAGUGGUGCCAGCACUGUCUGUGUAACAGAAGUGUCUCAACACUUCAGGACAGGUACGAACAAAGCAUUUUAAGUGUAAAGCUUGGCCUGCUUAGACCUCAGCCUUCCUAUUUUGGCUAAUGUUCUCUUGCCCUSCCUGUUUGCAGAAUUCCUGUUGCAGCAAAAGGAGCAGACUGAAUUUCCAAAUGAGUAGCACAGGAUUUAAACAUCAAGYCUGGAAGUCAUUUGGUUUAAUGUGGACUUCCAGAUCUGAGCUGGCCAUUUUAUGUGACCACUGUAGUCAAUGGACAUAUAUUCUAGCUAGGUCUUACCAAAUAACCAUUCCCUACCCUAUAAGCUUCUGUAAAAUGAUUUCAGCUACAGAUUUAAGRCAGCUUUAGUGAAUGUCUGUAUUUCAGACUUCAAAGGAGCUGUUUUUAUUUUCGGAUGCACAAACACCUAAUGAACCAAAAGAUAAGCAGGUGGUUUCUACUGCAUGUGCUCAGAAGCAAUGUUGCAAUAAAGACAAGGUGUAUCUGAGCA
rnacentral:lncRNA from 1 species